AAGUCUGCUGUUGUAAACAUCCCCGACUGGAAGCUGUACAACACAGCUGAGCUUUCAGUCAGAUGUUUGCUGCUGCUGGCUC
ensembl:miRNA microRNA 30d